CAAAUGGACUAUAAAGAGCGAACGAUAAAUCAUGUUUGUGUAAGGACAGGCCACGACCUCUCCGAUGGAGCCUACGCAGCCUUCCAAAUGAGCUCGCUCCCAUGCCCCAAGCUUCAAGAAUUACAUUCUGAUACUUUACUAUGGCUGGUCUAAAGACAACAAGGAAAAGAAUGACAGCAUUGUGGCCCACUAGAGGUUGAAUGUCACCCGCAUCAAGGCUGAAUGUCAAGGCUGACUAUUCCAUAACACUACUCAUGGUCCCUGCCCGUUCCUUCUUCCCUUCUUUAUUCUGGUAGAUAGUUUUAGUGAUGUGAUCAUGAAAAUAUUGUUUGGUUGAACAUAUUUGCCUAUAAAAUAUAUGCAAAUAGCCUCACAAAGCUUGAAAAUCAGUAAGGGAAA
rnacentral:lncRNA from 1 species